AAAGCUGAGCUGUGAUGACGAGGGAACUAUAGUACCGAAGUUCCUGAUUCCACACUGCCAAGAAAAGCCUCUAGCGAGGCGGGAGGUGCCCGUACCGCAAACCGACACAGGUAGGCGAGGAGAGAAUCCUAAGGUGAUCGAGAGAACUCUCGUUAAGGAACUCGGCAAAAUGACCCCGUAACUUCGGGAGAAGGGGUGCUCUGGUAGGGUGUAUAGCCCGAGAGAGCCGCAGUGAAUAGGCCCAGGCGACUGUUUAGCAAAAAC
rnacentral:rRNA from 1 species